UAAAAUAUUUGGACGGGUCAUCAAUGGCCGAUCAUGAAGAGUCAUGGCCUAGAUUAGUAAUCUCAAUUGCACUUUUGGAGGGGUGUAAGUUUAAGGUCACCUUAAAUGGGAGAACCUACGUCAUAAUUUGUGGCAAAGGAGUUUGUGUGGUAUGUCCAAC